CCUAGGGGAGGCAGCAGUGGGGAAUAUUGCACAAUGGGCGCAAGCCUGAUGCAGCCAUGCCGCGUGUAUGAAGAAGGCCUUCGGGUUGUAAAGUACUUUCAGCGGGGAGGAAGGCGGUGAGGUUAAUAACCUCACCGAUUGACGUUACCCGCAGAAGAAGCACCGGCUGACUCCGUGCCAGCAGCCGCGGUAA
rnacentral:rRNA from 1 species